UUUCAAAGGCAAUAUGGAGCAGUGAACAAGCACCAUCAAAGAAACUAGACAUAGAAAUCCAGAGACCCAGGGCAGCGCUACUGGGGAUGCAAGGACCAAAAAGAGGUGACACUCCUUCAGAGAGACUGAAGAAUGAGUGUCUGCAAAAGAACCGCUCACUCAGCCUUAGGCAUCGUAUAGCCCGGCUGGACCAUCACAUAUCUAUAAUUAGCGCCUUCAUCAUCAAUCAGCAAUUAUAGCAGAUGAGAAGAUAGAA